rnacentral:rRNA from 1 species
UACAGAGGUGGCGAGCGUUAUUCGGAUUUAUUGGGCGUAAAGGGCGUGUAGGCGGCUCUGCACGUCGGGUGUGAAAGCGCUACCGCUCAACGGAGCGACGGCACUCGAUACGGCGGAACUUGAAUCCGGUAGAGGUGGGCAGAAUACCUGGUGUAGCGGUGGAAUGCUUAGAUAUCAGGUAGAAUACCCGAGGCGAAGGCGGCCCACUGGACCGAGAUUGACGCUGAGGCGCGAAAGCGUGGGGAGCAAACGGG